rnacentral:SRP_RNA from 1 species
GCCGGGCAUGGUGAUGCAUGCCUGUAGUCCCAGCUACUCGGGAGGCUGAGGUGGGAGGAUCGCUUGAGCCCAGGAGUUCUAGGCUGUAGUGCGCUAUGCUGAUCGGGUGUCCGCACUAAGUUCAGCAUCAAUAUGGUUACCUCCCGGGAGCGGGGGACCACCAGGUUGCCUAAGGAGGAGUGAACCAGCCCAGGUCAGAAACGGAGCAGGUCAAAACUCCCGUGCUGAUCAGUAGUGGGAUCGAGCCUGUGAAUAGCCACUGCACUCCAGCCUGGGCAACAUAGCGAGACCCCGUCUC